CUUUAUUAAAAUAAGAAAAAUUAAACAAAUAACUUAUGUGUUUAAAAAUAUCAUUAAAUAAUUUAUAUAAAGUAAAAACUAACAUCCGGGCAUACGUGCGGAUUAAGCUCUAAUUUUUAUAUUACAUAAAAUGUCACUACUGCUUAAUAAAAAAUUAAAAUUGUAUUAAACUAAUUAUGUAAAUAAUAUUAUAGUAUUAUUUAUGUUUCCAAAUAAUAUAAUAAUUAAUCUCAUGUCCAAACAAAAAACAUUAGAUUCUAUUUUUAACAACUUUUACUAAGCUUAAAAAAAAUAAAACACUCAAAUAACUUAUGCAAAAAAAAAAGUAUACCUGUUAUUUUUAGAUACUACAAAACAAUUUCAUAAAUAAAAAACUUACAUUCGCUAAAACUUAAAUAAACCUUCAUAUAUAUUAAAUUAAAUAUGCUCUAGAAAUAAAAUGUUAGAGUUAAUAAAUUGACAUCAAAAAAGUAUAACUGUUAUUUUUUAGAUACUACAAAGUAAUUUC
rnacentral:lncRNA from 1 species